rnacentral:rRNA from 1 species
AUUGAACGCUGGCGGCAUGCUUUACACAUGCAAGUCGAACGGUAACAGGCCGCAAGGUGCUGACGAGUGGCGAACGGGUGAGUAAUGCAUCGGAACGUGCCCAGUCGUGGGGGAUAACGCAGCGAAAGCUGCGCUAAUACCGCAUACGAACUAUGGAUGAAAGCGGGGGACCGUAAGGCCUCGCGCGAUUGGAGCGGCCGAUGUCAGAUUAGGUAGUUGGUGGGGUAAAGGCUCACCAAGCCAACGAUCUGUAGCUAGUCUGAGAGGACGACCAGCCACACUGGGACUGAGACACGGCCCAGACUCCUACGGGAGGCAGCAGUGGGGAAUUUUGGACAAUGGGCGCAAGCCUGAUCCAGCAACGCCGCGUGCAGGAAGAAGGCCUUCGGGUUGUAAACUGCUUUUGUACGGAACGAAAAGGCUCUGGAUAAUACCUGGGGCUCAUGACGGUACCGUAAGAAUAAGCACCGGCUAACUACGUGCCAGCCGCCGCCGUAACAC